UACGUAGGGUCCGAGCGUUGUCCGGAAUUACUGGGCGUAAAGAGCUCGUAGGUGGUUUGUCGCGUUGUCCGUGAAAACUCACAGCUCAACUGUGGGCGUGCGGGCGAUACGGGCAGACUGGAGUACUGCAGGGGAGACUGGAAUUCCUGGUGUAGCGGUGAAAUGCGCAGAUAUCAGGAGGAACACCGGUGGCGAAGGCGGGUCUCUGGGCAGUAACUGACGCUGAGGAGCGACAGCGUGGGGAGCAAACAGG
rnacentral:rRNA from 1 species